UACGGAGGAUCCGAGCGUUAUCCGGAUUUAUUGGGUUUAAAGGGUGCGUAGGCGGAUUGGAAAGUCAGCGGUGAAAGUUUGCAGCUUAACUGUAAAAUUGCAAUUGAAACUGUCAGUCUUGAGUGCAAAUGAGGUAGGCGGAAUGUGUUGUGUAGCGGUGAAAUGCAUAGAUAUAACACAGAACGCCAAUUGCGAAGGCAGCUUACUGGGAUGCAACUGACGCUGAGGCACGAAAGCGUGGGGAUCAAACAGG
rnacentral:rRNA from 1 species